UGGGGAAUAUUGGACAAUGGGCGCAAGCCUGAUCCAGCCAUACCGCGUGAGUGAAGAAGGCCUUCGGGUUGUAAAGCUCUUUUGUUGGGAAAGAAAUCCUGUCGGUUAAUACCCGGUAGGGAUGACGGUACCCAAAGAAUAAGCACCGGCUAACUUCGUGCCAGCAGCCGCGGUAAUACGAAGGGUGCAAGCGUUACUCGGAAUUACUGGGCGUAAAGCGUGCGUAGGUGGUUUGUUAAGUCUGAUGUGAAAGCCCUGGGCUCAACCUGGGAAUUGCAUUGGAUACUGGCAGGCUAGAGUGCGGUAGAGGAUGGCGGAAUUCCCGGUGUAGCAGUGAAAUGCGUAGAGAUCGGGAGGAACAUCUGUGGCGAAGGCGGCCAUCUGGACCAGCACUGACACUGAGGCACGAAAGCGUGGGGAGCAAACAG
rnacentral:rRNA from 1 species